GUAUCUACAAGCAUAGAAGCACAAGCAUACACUCGCACUAACAUCUGCUAACCAUGUGUAUGUGACAAAUAAAAUUUUAUUUGAUUUUUGUCUCAGAGUAAGAGUGCUGAUCUAGGAUCAGGUCCCUCUGUCCAUAUGAUCCUAUUAAUAAAUUACCACUGUUCCUAGAUCAGCUUUUACUGUGAGACUGUCAAUACUUACCACCACAAUGAUUGAGGUAAUGUAACAGGGUAGACAGUACUACUACCAUCAUAAUGAUUGAGGUAAUGUAACAGGGUAGACAGUACUACUACUACCAUCAUAAUGAUUGAGGUAAUGUAACAGGGUAGACAGUACUACUACUACCAUCAUAAUGAUUGAGGUAAUGUAACAGGGUAGACAGUACUACUACUACCAUCAUAAUGAUUGAGGUAAUGUAACAGGGUAGACAGUACUACUACUACCAUCAUAAUGAUUGAGGUAAUGUAACAGGGUAGACAGUACUACUACUACCAUCAUAAUGAUUGAGGUAAUGUAACAGGGUAGACAGUACUACUACUACCAUCAUAAUGAUUGAGGUAAUGUAACAGGGUAGACAGUACUACUACUACUACCAUAAUGAUUGAGGUAAUGUAACAGGGUAGACAGUACUACUACUACUACCAUAAUGAUUGAGGUAAUGUAACAGGGUAGACAGU